ACCGCCAUUUAAUCAGUACUACCUGUUUCACCUGAAACUUACAGGAUGCCGUCGGCUCCAGCUCAUAAUUAUGAGGCAGAUAGCAUUUCAAAAAUCUCAUGAAUCGUUAGGUCGUCGUAGUGUUUUGUAUGACUAUAAAUUUACGUAAGCUGAAAUUCAACAUCCUUGAUGACUUGAUUUUGUGCGCCAGAUCCCAUACUACGCCAAAUCAUCUCACCUGCAUUCCAGCAAGUGAAAAGCUUUGUUCUUGAGCUUUGUUCUUGAUGCUUUGACCAGUUUCGACAUGAACGGCAGACUGGUUAAGACAAGAGUUUCACGAUCCUGCUCGUUCCUGCGUUGGGUAAACUUGUUAUGCAAAAAUGAUCCACCAGGGUCGUUUCCAAUCGCCUAUGACCCUGUCUGAGAGAACCUUGAAAUCGAAAUUCCCCGCAUUGCUGGGAACAGACCAAUAUCAAAGACUGCUAUUUACCUGUCAACAGUUUCAUUCUAUACUGAACAGAUGCAUGCAUGUGCGUGAAUAAAUAUUCGGGUAAAGAUUAAAUAACGAUCAUUGUUACACAUUAUUUAUCCUUGAAUUGUUAUUCACGCACAUGCAGGCUUUAUUUAAAUGAGCUAUAUCUAAGAAUGAAUAAAAAAGUGGGAUCAUCGGUCAAAUUAUCGGCCACAGGCCAGCCAUAGCCAUAGGCAUAGGUAAUCCGUUCAUUCACCUAGCUUCCUCCAUUAAGGGGUACAGCGUUCGAAUCGCAAUCGUGCAGCAAUCUAGCCAAGGUGAUUCAGACUACAUAUGGAACCCUACACAGUCUUGAAGCCCUUUUCGACCUGGAAUUAGCGUCAGACAAUGGUCCGAUCCAGGUCCUGAUAAACUAGCCACCACCACGACUCCACGACGACCUUAUACCAUUCGCACAUUUCUGCACCUAUGGUAUUCCACAGUAUAUGUUAUUUGAUGGUUAUAUUGAUCCUUACGAUAGUCUUGAAGCCAUUUUCGACCUGGAAUUAGCGUCAGACAAUCUCCAAAUGGUCCGACAACGUCCAUCACCAUAUAGCCACCAUUUAUCAUAUACUGUGGUAUCCCACAGUAACGGUGCUAGCGAACCAACACCGUUACUAUACUUGGAAUGUUUUAUCAAGUCUUUUAUACUGUUAAAUAGAUGUUGGAAAACAGCUACUGUCCGUUUUGGCAUCUGUUGGACCUUUAUGUUGGAUUUGGUAAAUGAGAUAGACUAAAUUGACGAAAAUAAAAAAUGAACAAUUUUC